GGGCUUACCUUUAAAGGUUAACGAUAACAGUUUGGAACCUGCGUCGCGUAAUACCGCAUAAUGUCUACGGACCAAAGGGCGCGCUUCGGCUCUCGCCUUUAGAUUGGCCCAAGUGGGAUUAGCUAGUUGGUGAGGUAAUGGCUCACCAAGGCGACGAUCCCUAGCUGGUUUGAGAGGAUGAUCAGCCACACUGGGACUGAGACACGGCCCAGACUCCUACGGGAGGCAGCAGUGGGGAAUAUUGCACAAUGGGCGCAAGCCUGAUGCAGCCAUGCCGCGUGUGUGAAGAAGGCCUUCGGGUUGUAAAGCACUUUCAGUCAGGAGGAAAGGUUAGUAGUUAAUACCUGCUAGCUGUGACGUUACUGACAGAAGAAGCACCGGCUAACUCCGUGCCAGCAGCCGCGGUAAUACGGAGGGUGCGAGCGUUAAUCGGAAUUACUGGGCGUAAAGCGUACGCAGGCGGUUUGUUAAGCGAGAUGUGAAAGCCCCGGGCUCAACCUGGGAACUGCAUUUCGAACUGGCAAACUAGAGUGUGAUAGAGGGUGGUAGAAUUUCAGGUGUAGCGGUGAAAUGCGUAGAGAUCUGAAGGAAUACCGAUGGCGAAGGCAGCCACCUGGGUCAACACUGACGCUCAUGUACGAAAGCGUGGGGAGCAAACGGGAUUAGAUACCCCGGUAGUCCACGCCGUGAACGAUGUCUACUAGAAGCUCGGAGCCUCGGUUCUGUUUUUUCAAAGCUAACGCAUUAAGUAGACCGCCUGGGGAGUACAGCCGCAAGGUUAAAACUCAAAUGAAUUUGACCGGGGGCCCGCACAAGCGGUGGAGCAUGAUGGUUUAAUUCCGAUGCAACGCCGAAGAAGCUUUACUUACACUUGACAUACCAGAGAAACUUACCAGAAGAUUGUUUUGGUGGCCCUUCGGGAAACUCCUGAUAUACGGUUGCCUGCAUGGGACUUGCUCCGUCACCUCCGUGGUUUGUUGAGA
rnacentral:rRNA from 1 species